rnacentral:rRNA from 1 species
AACGAACGCUGGCGGCAGGCUUAACACAUGCAAGUCGAGCGAGACCUUCGGGUCUAGCGGCGGACGGGUGAGUAACGCGUGGGAACGUGCCCUUCUCUACGGAAUAGCCCCGGGAAACUGGGAGUAAUACCGUAUAUGCCCUUUGGGGGAAAGAUUUAUCGGAGAAGGAUCGGCCCGCGUUGGAUUAGGUAGUUGGUGGGGUAAUGGCCCACCAAGCCGACGAUCCAUAGCUGGUUUGAGAGGAUGAUCAGCCACACUGGGACUGAGACACGGCCCAGACUCCUACGGGAGGCAGCAGUGGGGAAUCUUAGACAAUGGGGGCAACCCUGAUCUAGCCAUGCCGCGUGAGUGAUGAAGGCCUUAGGGUUGUAAAGCUCUUUCAGCUGGGAAGAUAAUGACGGUACCAGCAGAAGAAGCCCCGGCUAACUCCGUG